CAAACAUGGCAUAUCAAGUUGCAAUAAGACUAGGUACUUCCCCUAGUAUUGACUAGAUGAGGUAACCCAGUAGGAAGAAGAAGGUCCCAAAGUAGGCAGAAGAAUCAGAGAUACCCUCACUCCCACUGUGUGAGUUCUACAAGAAUACCACGCUAUACAACCAAAGCAUGUGCAGAGGGCAUAGCUCAAACCCAUGUCAGGCUUUCUGAUUGUCACUUCCAUCUCUGGGAGCCCCUAUGAGCUGUGCUUAGUUAAUUCUGUGAGCUGUGUUCUUGUGGUGUCCUUGACCCCCUCAGAGGGCUUUUUAAUAGUAUAUAUUAUAUGAUUCCUUAGAAGUGUUGAGCAAAUUAUUUAAAGAAGCCUCCUCUAUCAUGUUUAUUCUAAUUGUUGUUUGUUGGGAUAAAUCCACUGAUGUAUGUACUGUAUAGUGCUGUUUUUAAAAGUUAGAUACGUGGUUUUAUGUUGUAGGGAAUAGUUUUUAAAUCUGAUGUUUGGUUGUUUGUAAUGCCUUUUUUUAGCGACUUCAGGAAGAAAUUACUAAACAGUCUCCAACAUUGCAGAGAAAUGCUUUGUACAUCAAAUCUUCUAAGAUCAGCCGGCUACCUGCUUACUUAACUAUUCAGAUGGUUCGAUUUUUUUAUAAAGAGAAAGAAUCUGUGAACGCCAAAGUUCUUA
rnacentral:lncRNA from 1 species